rnacentral:rRNA from 1 species
CCUACGGGGUCAGCAGUGGGGAAUAUUGGACAAUGGGCGAAAGCCUGAUCCAGCCAUGCCGCGUGUGUGAAGAAGGCCUUCGGGUUGUAAAGCACUUUCAGUGGGGAAGAAAGCCUUGGGGCUAAUACCCUCGAGGAAGGACAUCACCCACAGAAGAAGCACCGGCUAACUCCGUGCCAGCAGCCGCGGUAAUACGGAGGGUGCGAGCGUUAAUCGGAAUUACCGGGCGUAAAGCGCGCGUAGGCGGUCUGAUAAGCCGGUUGUGAAAGCCCCGGGCUCAACCUGGGAACGGCAUCCGGAACUGUCAGGCUAGAGUGCAGGAGAGGAAGGUAGAAUUCCCGGUGUAGCGGUGAAAUGCGUAGAGAUCGGGAGGAAUACCAGUGGCGAAGGCGGCCUUCUGGACUGACACUGACGCUGAGGUGCGAAAGCGUGGGUAGCAAACAGGAUUAGAUACCCCAGUAGUC